rnacentral:rRNA from 1 species
GACGGACGCUGGCGGCGUGCUUAACACAUGCAAGUCGAACGGAAAGGCCCCUUCGGGGGUACUCGAGUGGCGAACGGGUGAGUAACACGUGAGUAACCUGCCCUUGACUUCGGGAUAACUUCAGGAAACUGGGGCUAAUACCGGAUAGGAAUCCUUGCUGCAUGGUGGGGGUUGGAAAGCUUCGGCGGUUUUGGAUGGACUCGCGGCUUAUCAGCUUGUUGGUGGGGUAGUGGCUUACCAAGGCUUUGACGGGUAGCCGGCCUGAGAGGGCGACCGGCCACAUUGGGACUGAGAUACGGCCCAGACUCCUACGGGAGGCAGCAGUGGGGAAUAUUGCACAAUGGGCGGAAGCCUGAUGCAGCAACGCCGCGUGCGGGAUGACGGCCUUCGGGUUGUAAACCGCUUUCAGCAGGGGCGAAGCUUGUGGUGACGGUACCUGCAGAAGAAGCACCGGCUAACUACGUG